UUUGUCCUACGGGGCGCAGCAGUGGGGAAUAUUGGACAAUGGGGGAAACCCUGAUCCAGCGACGCCGCGUGAGUGAAGAAGUAUUUCGGUAUGUAAAGCUCUAUCAGCAGGGAAGAAAAUGACGGUACCUGACUAAGAAGCCCCGGCUAACUACGUGCCAGCAGCCGCGGUAAUACGUAGGGGGCAAGCGUUAUCCGGAUUUACUGGGUGUAAAGGGAGCGUAGACGGCCAGACAAGUCAGAAGUGAAAGCCCAGGGCUCAACUCUGGGACUGCUUUUGAAACUGCCGGGCUGGAGUGCAGGAGG
rnacentral:rRNA from 1 species